rnacentral:rRNA from 1 species
CGGAGGGGGCAAGCGUUGUUCGGAUUUACUGGGCGUAAAGGGUGUGUAGGCGGCUGGGCAAGUCUGGCGUGAAAUCUUCACCGCUCAACGGGAAGGGGUCGCUGGAAACUGCUCAGCUUGAGUAUGGUAGAGGCAAGCGGAAUUCCUGGUGUAGCGGUGGAAUGUUCAGAUAUCAGGAAGAACACCGGUGGCGAAGGCGGCUUGCUGGGCCAUCACUGACGCUGAGACACGAAAGCGUGGGGAGCAAACGGGAUUAGACUACCCCGGUAGUCCACGCUGUAAACGGUGCGCACUAGGUGUGGGGGGUAUCGACCCCUCCCGUGCCGAAGUUAACACAUUAAGUGCGCCGCCUGGGGAGUACGGCCGCAAGGUUG